rnacentral:rRNA from 1 species
GUGGGGAAUCUUGCGCAAUGGGCGAAAGCCUGACGCAGCCAUGCCGCGUGAAUGAUGAAGGUCUUAGGAUUGUAAAAUUCUUUCACCGGGGACGAUAAUGACGGUACCCGGAGAAGAAGCCCCGGCUAACUUCGUGCCAGCAGCCGCGGUAAUACGAAGGGGGCUAGCGUUGCUCGGAAUUACUGGGCGUAAAGGGCGCGUAGGCGGACAGUUUAGUCAGAGGUGAAAGCCCAGGGCUCAACCUUGGAAUUGCCUUUGAUACUGGCUGUCUUGAGUACGGGAGAGGUGAGUGGAACUCCGAGUGUAGAGGUGAAAUUCGUAGAUAGUCGGAAGAACACCAGUGGCGAAGGCGACUCACUGGCCCGUUACUGACGCUGAGGCGCGAAAGCGUGGGGAGCAAACAGGAUUAGAUACCCUAGUAGUCC